CUCCUUGCGCAGGGCGCCCAUCACGUCCAGAUUGAAGGCGACAGCCCCUGGGAAGAGCAGUCCGGCAAGCAGGGAGCCAAGAAGAGUCCGGCAGUGGCAACGGCUCUGCUAGACACAUACAUCGUCAGCGGUCAGAGAAGCAGAGGAAAAGACUGGCGAGAAGAAAGAAAAACUCAGCAGGCCUGGGGAGGGGAACAAAGGAGGCAGGUAGAAAGAAAACUGAAAGAGAAAAGAGAUGGUGAAAGAAGGGUAAGAGUUUGAUCAACAAGGAUGGAAUGAAGGGAGAAAACAAGGAAAAGACUGAGGGUGAUAUAGGAAGAGGAAAUUAAGCUGGGGGGAAAGCAUGGACUGUCAAAGAAGACCAAAAAUGUGAGAGAUUGGCCCCAAGAGGCAGAGAGAUGGGAAAGAUGUCUCCGGCUUCCAGAUCCUUCCCAGAACCGUACAUUUCCUACCCUCCAAAGGGGAAGGGAUUGGAGGGGACAGGGUCCUGCGCUGGCCCAGGCAGGAUCGGGGUGGGGCUUCCCAGGGAUGUCCACAGGGACUUGUCCCUCUGCCUCUCCCUUCCCCCCAGGCUGAGACAAAGGCAAAGGGGGGGGAGGACAUUUUCCAACUGUGCUAUUUAUAACUCUAAUCCAGAAAUGGGGCCAAGAAGAGAGAUAGGAAAUAAUUUGACACAACUGGAACCUCACUUGCUGCCACAUCCCGUUCCUAGUUCUCUUUCUUACUGGGUGUUGGUCUUGGGUAUAUCCAUCUGUCCAUUUUUCUCCCUUCUCUCUCUCACCCUCUGGUUUUGUCUCAUCCCCAGCUCUGUCUUUAUCCCCCUUCUUGUCUCUGUCACUUGGAAUCUUUCUAGACUAUUUCUCAAUGUCUCUAAUGUUUCCUUUGCCCCCCAAACACUAUCAUAUCCUUAAGACUCUCUGUUCUCCCUCCCUGUCUUCAAAGCUCCAAUAUGUGUUCUCCCUAAUUCCUCUUCCCAUGUUCCCUUUGUCUCUCUUACUUCUUCUUCCAGGAUUAUACGUAAAAUU